GUGUGUGUGUGUUUGGCCCCAUCUCGCACUCGAUAGCCAGACUACCACCAUCUGCUAUAGCGUGGGAACCUCAGUCUCCUUCAUAUGAACUGCCCGCUUGGAGAGCAUUACCCCCACCUGAAGAGCCUAUGCAGGUGUCUCAGGAGGAACGACAGCGCCGACUGCGGGCUGUUUGGUGGAGAGGUGUCGGAGAGGAGGACGGAGCCCAUCCUGCCACCAUCUCGGGUGGUGGCGGCUGUCACCUGGGAGGUGGAAUCCGCAGUGAAGAAGGCACAAGAACAGCAACCUGACCCAGGUAACGGCCCUGCUAACCGUCUUUUUGUUCCUGACUCUGUACGCUCUCAGGUUCUCUCUUGGGCUCACGGUUCCCGGAUCUUUUGCCAUCCUGGAGUUAGACGGACCUUAGGCUUGGUUAAGAUACGUUUCUGGUGGUCUUCUAUGGACAAUGAUGUAAAGCGGUACGUGGCUGCAUGUACUGUUUGUGCAAUAUGAAAGGCUCUCCAUCGGCCGCCUGCUGGUUUGUUGCAACCUCUGCCUGUGCCCCACCGGCCUUGGUCCAAUAUUGCUCUUGACUUUGUCACUGGACUACCCCCGUCCCAAGGUAAUUCCUCCAUACUCACCAUUGUCGACCGAGUUAUUUUUUGUUAAUUUUGUGGCCUUGCCCAAACUCCCCUCUGCUCAGGAGACUGCUGACCUCCUGGCUCUCCAUGUUUUUCGCCUCCAUGGAAUUCCUGCUGAUAUUGUUUCGGACCGGGGUCCACAAUUCUUUUCGCAAGUAUGGAAAGCAUUUUGUUCCGCCCUUGGGGCCACCGUCAGUUUAUCCUCUGGUCAUCAUUCCCAGACCAAUGGCCAGGCCGAGAGAGCUAAUCAGGACCUGGAAUCUUUGUCGCUGCCUCAAACCCCUCCUCCUGGAGUACUCACCUGCCUUGGGUUGAGUAUGCACAUAACUCUCUCACCUGCUCCGCCACAGGUCUGUCCCCUUUUGAAGCUGCUCUCGGAUACCAGCCCCCUCUCUUCCCGGUCCAGGAGGGAGAGAUCGCUGUCCCAUCGAUUCAAUACCAUCUGAGGCGCUGUAGGAAGCUAUGGCAGGACACCAGAGCUGCCCUCCUUUGUACAGCUGAGUCCAACAAGAGGAUGGCGGAUCGGAAACGUUCUCGAGCCCUGGAGUACAAAACAGGUCAGGAAGUUUGGUUGUCAUCCAAGGACAUUCAGUUGAAAGUUGAGUCACGUAAAUUGGCUCCUCGUUAUCUUGGUCCAUUCAAGAUUGCUGAGGUCAUUAACCCAUCCGUUGUCAAACUCAAACUGCCUGCUUCCAUGAGGAUUCAUCCCACCUUUCAUGUGUCACAGUUGAGGCCGGUGGCUUCAAGUUCUCUCUGCCCUCCAGCCGUACCCCCGCCUCCCACCCCGAUCAUUGAUGGCCAUCCUGCCUUUACAGUCCGCCGCCUCUGGGAUGUGCGUCGCCGGGGACGGGGUUUCCCGUAUCUGGUUGAUUGGGAGGGUUACGGUCCUGAAGAGAGGUCAUGGGUUCCCCGCUCCCGGAUCUUGGAUCGUGUCAUGGUCAGGGAAUUCCAGGCGGCACACCCUGAGAAACCCGGUGGGACGCCUGGAGGCGCCCGUUGAGGGGGGGUACUGUUAGGAUCCGCCCCCUUCCCCUUGUCCUCCUGCCUCCCCUACCCUCUUGCCUGUGUCUCCAGUCUGUGUGUGUGUGUGUGUGUGUGUGUCUGUCUGGAGCUGGGCGUCGCCAUGGUCUCUGCUCUCCUGGAUGCAAUCAAGCCUGCACAGCUGCUGCCAAUCCUGCCAUCAUCUCACCCUCAGUCUGCAGUACUUAAGACCGGCUCAUUCUUCCACUCAUCGCCAGAUCGUACAGUCAUCUUCCGUGAUCCAGUCCCAUGGUUUAUGCUGCCUUGCCUCGUCCAGCUCCAUCCGUCAAGUUACCUGCCAGGAUCAAGUCCCCGGAAUCGCUCCCCAGCCCGCCUCUGGAGUUUAGCCCACCAGUCCUGGAUCACCGCCGCAUAGCCUGGAACUCCAGUCCUCCAUUGUUGUGUGUAA